rnacentral:rRNA from 1 species
UACGUAGGGACCAAGCGUUGUCCGGAAUCAUUGGGCGUAAAGAGCGUGUAGGCGGCUUGUUAAGUCUUGCGUGAAAUCUCGGGGCUCAACCCCGAGCGGUCGUGAGAAACUGGCAGGCUAGAGUGCGGGAGAGGAGAGUGGAAUUCCUGGUGUAGCGGUGAAAUGCGCAGAUAUCAGGAAGGACACCCGUGGCGAAGGCGGCUCUCUGGAACGCAACUGACGCUGAGACGCGAAAGCGUGGGGAGCAAACAGG